rfam:TPA: Bos taurus chromosome 7, whole genome shotgun sequence.
UCCCUGAUGGCUUAGUGGUAAAGAAUCUGCCUGCAAUGCAGGAGACCUGGGUUCGAUCCCCGGGUUGAGAA